rnacentral:rRNA from 1 species
GACGAACGCUGGCGGCGUGCUUAACACAUGCAAGUCGAGCGGAGCGGCGAACGGGUGAGUAACGCGUGAGUAACUGCCCCCCUCUCUGGGAUAACAGUUGGAAACGGCUGCUAAUACCGGAUAGUGGGGGAUGGCUCGCGUCCUAUCAGCUUGUUGGUGGGGUAGUGGCCUACCACGGCGACGACGGGUAGCCGGCCUGGGAGGGGGACCGGCCAAAGUGGGCUGAGAUACGGCCCAAACGGCUACGGGGGGCAGCGGUGGGGAAGAUUGCACAAUGGGGGAAACGCUGAUGCAGCGACGCCGCGUGCGGGAUGCCGGCCUUGGGGUUGGAAACCGCGUUCAGCCAUGACGCGGUAGUGGCAGAAGAAGCACCGGCUAACUACGUGCCAGCAGCCGCGGUAAUAC